rnacentral:lncRNA from 1 species
UUUUUUUUUUUUUUUCUUUUUGGGGCUGCAUCCACAGCCCUAAAAAGGCGUCCCAGGCUAGGGAUCCAAUUGGAGCUACAGCUGCCAGCCCACACCACAGCCACAACCAUGCCAGAUCCGAGCUUUGUCUGCAACCUACACCACAGCUCAUGGCAACGGCCAGGGAUCAAACCUGCAUCCUCAUAGAGCCUAGUCGGGUUCCUUAACAGCUGAGCCACAACGGGAACUCCUCUUUACUUUUUUUUGCCUAAUACCUGGAAGACAAUGAGUUCUACUUCAUAGGGUGUGUGAAAUGAGUAACAUCAAACUGUGCCUGUGUUCUUGAAGUUUGCAAUUGAGGAGUCAGAGUAUCAUUGGUCUCUGCAGUCUCCCAACCAUCACGGUGUUCCUUGCACAAAAUAAUAAACAGUACACCUUCUUGGACCCCGAGUUUGGCAUAGAGAACGAUGUAAACAAAUAGUUACCCUGUUGUGUACCUGUCUGGACAGCAGUAUGAUCAACAAACUACAGAGAAACAGCAGAGAAUGACCUUAUUCUGCUUGCAUGAGCCAGGGUAGGCUUCAAGGAGGAGCUAACAUUUCUGAUGUCUCCAUAAGGAUGACUCAGGAUUUGCAAAAAUUAAGGGUGGACAGGCUUUCCAGGCAGAGGCACAGCAAAACUCAGGCACAGGCAAUAUCACAUGUUUAGGGUGUGAUGGAUGAGAAAUCGGAAGUGGCAGGUUCCUUAGGAGAACCACAGGCAAAGGGCUACUCAAUUCUCAUUUAUAUUAUGAUUCUAUUGUUCUGUAUAAAAUGAGUCAGGGCAGGGGAAUGUCUUGGGCACGCCAGACAUUCAGGGACCUGGGGAGUUGCCUUACAUCCUCUACACAGAAGGACUUUAUUAGAAUUUCUACUGGAAAGAGACCAUUUCUGCCAUCCAGGCGUGGGGGGUACAGUAGCCUCAACAAACUACUUCAAAAUAUUGAUUUCACUUCUGACUCUAUUUCACUUGACUCUUUUAUUUAGAAUCAAGAGACCAGAUGUUUCAAAAUGAGCAUGAUUUGUGACCAUACUCCAUAGAAAAGUUUCCUUAUAUUACUGUGGAAUCCCUAUUCUUUUUCCUUAGAUGGCAGGAUUAUGGUUUAAAUGGGAAUUUUCCUAGGCAAGGGAUUGAGCUGCAGCACUUUAAUCCACUUCGCCAGACCAGGGAUCGAGCAGUGGGAUUGUUAACCUACUGCACCAUAGCAGGAACACCUUUAAAUGGCAAUUUAAUGGUAAGAUUGAAACCAAGCAGGAACUUGUGGGGCUCCUGGGUAUAAAAGCUAAAAGACCAAAAAAAAAAAAAAAAAAAAAAAAAGGCCUUUCUAGGUCCCCCACUUCUUUGCAGGGAUAGGUUCAGCCUCUUCUGCCUUCAAGACCUUCCCUGAGGGCAGGUUCAAACAGGUGCUAAUGAGGGAAGGGAGGGGAUGCAGAGACAAGGGAGGAGCAGUCAAGAGACCACAGUGCAGCCUAGGGGCAGUGUCCUGGUUCCCCCUCAAGGAAUACACAUAACAGUAUCUUUGAGCUAAGAAGACUGCAGAACUAAAACCCCCAACAAA